rnacentral:lncRNA from 1 species
GAAAAAAUGACACAGGAUACCAAUCACAUUAAAGAAUACUGUUAGCAGAAGAAGAAACAAAGUACAGUAGUUGAAUAUGCAAAGGGUGCUCACAUCUGGCCUUUAGCACACAUUUUAGAAGAAAAGUUGCAUCAGGAAAAGAAGCACUCAAGGGAUUGGCUCAAUAAGAAAAAUGUAUUUGGAAGACUGUGCCACAGCCAUGCUAACCUUCCUAAGCAACCCAACAGAACACUAUGUAUUCUGAUUUCUUCAUAAAUGGAGUUGCAUUUUACCUUAGGCUACAUUAUUUUCAAAAUAUAAAACAAACAGGAGCUUUUGUUCUUGUUUUACUUCUCUCGCAGGUGUGUCUUUGGCCAGGAGAGAGCAGGGCUACUGUAUAACAUGUAUAACAAUCCAUGGUGGCCUUGGUGGAGAAGCCUGAUGACUGAUAUGUCUAUGUGUACCAGAUGGUGACACCAUCACCAAAACCAAGAGGCCCUACAGGAGGAAACCUGGGAUCCCACUUGGUAGCUGAAGGAGACAGCACUGACGUGAACAUUUGUUGUUUGCUAAAAAGGAUUACAGUGAGCUCACAGGCAUUCUCCAGACAACUAACAUCAUCUUCAGAAUUUCUCUAAAUAUUCCCAGUAACCAAAUCACAAGACAAGAGAAAAUAGACUAAUGUUGCUGACUGUGCUUUCAGUGAGUAAAACCUUUUGAGGUAUUUCUCUCAUUCUCUCUGCAAAUAAAAGAUGCUCUCCCAUUUGCUGACUCCGAAAAUAGCAAGAAUGGAAAAGUAACAUUUCAGUAUUAUAGUAU